CCUGUCCACUACUCCCAAAAGAUUUCUGCAAUUUACUACACAUCAAACUUCCUUCUCCAAUAUGACUCUCCACCCCAUGAACUGUUUUUAUGAAGAGGCACACAACCAAUCAAAAGGUUUGUGCAUGAAAACCCAAUAUCUACGGUCCACUACUCCAAAAAGAUUUCUGCAAUGUUACACUUCAAACUUCCGCCUUAUCCAUUAUGAUUCUCGGCUCCACAAACUGUUUUUAUGAAGAGGCACACAACCAAUCAAAAGUCUUUCUCCCGUUGAUACAUUUUCAGGUUUGUGCAUGAAAACCCAAUAUCUACGGUCCACUACUCCAAAAAGAUUUCUGCAAUAUGUUAAACUUCAAACUUCCGCCUUAUCCAUUAUGAUUCUCCGCUCCAUGAACUGUUUUUAUGAAGAGGCACACAACCAAUCAAAAGGUUUGUGCAUGAAAACCCAAUAUCUACGGUCCACUACUCCAAAAAGAUUUCUGCAAUGUUACACUUCAAACUUCCGCCUUAUCCAUUAUGAUUCUCGGCUCCACAAACUGUUUUUAUGAAGAGGCACACAACCAAUCAAAAGGUUUGUGCAUGAAAACCCAAUAUCUACGGUCCACUACUCCAAAAAGAUUUCUGCAAUGUUACACUUCAAACUUCCGCCUUAUCCAUUAUGAUUCUCGGCUCCACAAACUGUUUUUAUGAAGAGGCACACAACCAAUCAAAAGGUUUGUGCAUGAAAACCCAAUAUCUACGGUCCACUACUCCAAAAAGAUUUCUGCAAUAUGUUAAACUUCAAACUUCCGCCUUAUCCAUUAUGAUUCUCCGCUCCAUGAACUGUUUUUAUUAAGAGGCACACAACCAAUCAAAAGGUUUGUGCAUGAAAACCCAAUAUCUACGGUCCACUACUCCAAAAAGAUUUCUGCAAUGUUACACUUCAAACUUGCACCUUAUCCAUUAAGAUUCUCCACUCCAUGAACUGUUUUUAUGAAGAGGCACACAACCAAUCAAAAGGUUUGUGCAUCAAAACCCAAUAUCUCCUGUCCACUACUCCCAAAAGAUUUCUGCAAUUUACUACACAUCAAACGUCCUUCUCCAAUAUGACUCUCCACCCCAUGAACCGUUUUUAUGAAGAGGCACACAACCAAUCAAAAGGUUUGUGCAUCAAAACCCAAUAUCUCCUGUCCACUACUCCCAAAAGAUUUCUGCAAUUUACUACACAUCAAACUUCCUUCUCCGCUAUGAUUCUCCACCCCAU